AUGGAAAUGACUAGUGCCAAGAAUCUGGUGUUCUGCGACGGUCACCUGUACCAAAUCUGGAGGAAUGCAACCAGCACAGUUACUUUGCAGCUCCAGGGAGGCGGUCGACGUCGUGUGGCACAGGAUGAAAUAUUUGCUCUGAGGUAUGAUCCCCGGUGCCAGCCAUGUUGGGAUGUUGUUGCCAACUUGGUUGGAUACUCAGUGUUUGUUGGUAUGAAAAAUUCGGUGUCGUUGUAUGCUGAAGGUGUUUCCAGACUCAAGGGUAAUUGUGUGCACUGGAUCGGUGGGAGAGGUAGGGAUGAGGGCAUGGUCUUUGACAUGAGGACUAGGAGGUCCACACCUUGCCUUCGCCCAGUGGAUGGUGUCAUUCCGGAGUCUCCACAUGGCGCAGUCUGCUGCCAUGGUCUAAACUUGAGCACUAACAUGUUCAUUACAAUGAUUCUGCGUGAGCCGCCAGGUCUUGUUUGUCUCAAUGCUCGCCAUCUCUUCCAUCAUAGCGGUGCGCCACUCCUUGUCCUUCUCCGCCUCUGCAAAGCUUGCUGGUUCGUCGGCAGAGAAGAGGCACACGUCACUGUAUGCCGGAUCAACCUGGUCGGUCGCAUCGAAGAGAUUGUCAAGGGCGGUGGUGUGGACGGAGUUUCUGGAGGGGAUCGUGCCACGCUCCUCGAUCUCCACGGACGUGUCGUCGCCGAUCUGCCUGGACAUGAGCCAACUCGGUCCGGCUCGGGGCGAGCCUGCAAAAAGCUCGGGCAAAGUUGCCGAGCCCCGAGCCAGCUCGACAUUGCCGGCGAGCCAUGA
rnacentral:rRNA from 1 species